AUUGAACGCUGGCGGCAGGCCUAACACAUGCAAGUCGAACGAGUGGCGGACGGGUGAGUAAUGUCUGGGAAACUGCCUGAUGGAGGGGGAUAACUACUGGAAACGGUAGCUAAUACCGCAUACCAUCGGAUGUGCCCAGAUGGGAUUAGCUAGUGGGUGGGGUAAAGGCUCACCUAGGCGACGAUCUCUAGCUGGUCUGAGAGGAUGACCAGCCACACUGGGACUGAGACACGGCCCAGACUCCUACGGGAGGCAGCAGUGGGGAAUAGUGCACAAUGGGCGCAAGCCUGAGGCAGCCAUGCCGCGUGUAUGAAGAAGGCCUUCGGGUUGUAAAGUUCUUUCAGUAGGGAGGCGUUACCUGCAGAAGAAGCACCGGCUAACUCCGUGCCAGCAGCCGCGGUAAUAC
rnacentral:rRNA from 1 species